rnacentral:lncRNA from 1 species
ACGAGCAGCCUCACAUCAGAUGCAGGAGCAGUAACCCGUGAUGGGGGAGGGCAGGCAAGGAGGUACAGACAUGGGCUGCAGGGAUUCCAGUUAAACACCCUCAGUUCUUUCUUCUUCCUUGCCCAGACCUGCUCCUUUAAUUCCUGGGAAAUGAGCAGGGAGAGUCCAAAGCCAGUAAGAGAAGACGGGCAGAGAUGGUGGGAACACAAAGCAGUUAUGUGCUUCUCGGGGUGGAAAGAGGCCCAGGUUAUUAAAUAGCAGGCAAUUUUAACAUGAGUUAUUAAUACUAGUUGUUUGUACUGGGAAGUGGUGCCUAGGGGCUCCCAUUGCACUAAUCAUGUAACAAAGCUGUGUUCCUAACACAAAUAGCUUGUGUUUCAGCCCGAAGAGAACAAGUCGUCUCCUUCCCAUUACCCUCUCUUUGAAAAAGCAGCUUGAAGAUUACACAGUCAAGCCCGCAAAAGCUGGGAAAGGAAAAAAGUUACUGGGCUGCCCUACAGUGCCAUCGCUUACACCCAGCCAGCCCAGUAACUCCAUCAGCACUGUGGGCCCACACUGUCUGCUCUUCCCCUGCUCCAUCCCCAACAAUGGCAGGCCAGGUCUUAACCUUAAUGGUGAUUUUUGUGUUGCCUUCUUUGGGUUUGAGUGCAGUAAAGCCACACCACCUGUUUAGGGCACUGCUCGGCUGUGGGGGGUUUUUUUCUCCCUUGCUGAUUGAUGCUGUAUAUCUCUGUUGCAUUUUUUUUCAGGUUUUGCAAACUGCAGUUCUCUCUUGGGUACAUGCCUUUCUGAAAUCACACUGUAACCCACCUGAGUGGACAUCUACUGAUUAACACAGCCAGGGGAACUUCUCUUCCUCCUUCCUAAGCUUCUUCAUGGGUGGGCAAGCCUUUGUGAGACACCCUUGGCAAGCAAGGGAUGAAACAGCCCCCAUAGAUCAGCCUGAAGUUUAGUACGGCUUGGCUUUGGCCUCUGAACUGACUCCUCCUGCAGCAGAGUUAACCAGGUCAGUCUCUUUCCUCCCUUCAAACACUUUAUCUGUCUGUGUGACACCACAUUUUCAUUUAUUUUUCCCCCCACCACCUGACAGCCAUUUUUCUUUAGCAAGAAGGUAAACACCCUGUUUUGUUUUCCCAUCUGUAUUUAAACUGUGAAUGGAGUGAAGCAACAGGCUGGGAAGCAGAAAGAGGAAAGCAGCUCUGAGUG